rnacentral:rRNA from 1 species
UACAGAGGUCUCAAGCGUUUGUUCGGAUUCAUUGGGCGUAAAGGGUGCGUAGGUGGCGCUGUAAGUCGGGUGUGAAAUUUCGGAGCUUAACUCCGAAACUGCAUUCGAUACUGCGGUGCUUGAGGACUGGAGAGGAGACUGGAAUUCAUGGUGUAGCAGUGAAAUGCGUAGAGAUCAUGAGGAAGACCAGUGGCGAAGGCGGGUCUCUGGACAGUUCCUGACACUGGAGGCACGAAGGCCAGGGGAGCAAAACGGG